rnacentral:lncRNA from 1 species
CUUUUCUCUAAAAUAUUUAGUGUAGCGGAACGUGGGGGAGGAGGUCACAUUUGUAAGCAGUUAAUUCCAUUGCGUAAUUGAUAAAGGGAAAAAAAGGGGUCAUAUUGCAUAUUGUGGGGAAAAUUUGGUUGAUUAUUCAGGGAAUCACUGUCAAAGCAUGACUGGACCGGUCCUCCUUAAACAGUCAGAAGGCCACCCCUUACAAAAAUUUCUCAAGUCUUUAGUAACGUAGCUUGAUUACUGAGGGCAUGCAGUCAUAAUAUAUAUCAGUGAUACUUCUUAAUUUUCUGAUACGGCAUGAAAUGUCAUUUC